rnacentral:rRNA from 1 species
GAAUAAUACUUACAUAUUAAGUUAGCACAUUAAACAGACCGCCUGAACAGUACAUUCUCAAGAAUGAAAAUCAAAAGUUUUAACCGCAGGCUAGUACACGGGGUGGAGCAUGUUAUUUAAUACGAUAACCCGCGUAUAAUCUUACUAUCUCUUGUAUAGCUAGAUUUUUCAAAUCUUUUUACAGGUGUUGCAUGGUUGUCGUCAGUUCGUGCUUUAUAGUGUUUGGUUA